AUGGCGGCGAGAGCGAGAGCGGUGGCAGCCACGUCCAGAAACAGCAGCAUCCUCCUGGCCGCGGCGGUGGCACUGGCGCUGCUGGUGUCGUCGGCGUCGGCGCAGUCCGGGUGCACGACGGCGCUGGUCGGCCUGUACCCGUGCAUGAACUACAUCAGCGGCAGCGGCACAGCGCCGACCAAGUCCUGCUGUUCGCAGCUCGCCUCAGUCGUGCAGUCCCAGCCGCAGUGCCUCUGCACCGCGCUCGGCGGUGACUCGUCGUCGCUCGGAGGCGUCACCAUCAACAAGACCCGCGCGCUCGAGUUGCCCAACGCCUGCAACGUGCAGACCCCGCCGGCGAGCAAGUGCAACGGCGGUAAGUGCUCGACAGUACUCGUAGUAUUUUACGAGUUACAAGACUCAAGAGCUGCACUGCACGUAUAAUAA
rnacentral:rRNA from 1 species